rnacentral:rRNA from 1 species
GAAACUGCCCGACGAUGAGUUCUCCCUGAGACUUUAAGUCUCCUGAAGGAACGUUGAAGACGACGACGUUGAUAGGCCGGGUGUGUAAGCGCAGCGAUGCGUUGAGCUAACCGGUACUAAUGAACCGUGAGGCUUAACCUUACAACGCCGAAG